UACGGGGGGGGGCAAGCGUUGUUCGGAAUUACUGGGCGUAAAGGGCUUGUAGGUGGCCAACUAAGUCAGACGUGAAAUCCCUCGGCUUAACCGGGGAACUGCGUCUGAUACUGGAUGGCUUGAGUGUGGGAGAGGGAUGCGGAAUUCCAGGUGUAGCGGUGAAAUGCGUAGAUAUCUGGAGGAAUACCGGUGGCGAAGGCGGCAUCCUGGACCGACAUUGACGCUGAACGGCGAAAGCUAGGGGAGCAAACGGG
rnacentral:rRNA from 1 species